AAAACUGCCAUUCUUGAUCGCAGAUCAAAAUGGCGAGGAAGAUACUGAUUGUUCUUCUUUUGAUUUCAUUAUUGGAUAUUUCAUAUCAGGGAUGUCACGUGGAGUUGGAGGCAUAUCGGACAUCAACGAUUUACUAUACAAAAUGUGGUGAAUGGGGAAAAUGGUGGAGAUGCUCAAAAACAAGAGACAAGACGGCGUAUAGAUAUAGAUGCUCCCCUGGCUAUGGAUGGAUCUCAUUUCGUUGUUGU